AUGGUGUUCAUUGACUUGGAGAAGGCCUAUGAUAAGAUACCGCGGAAUGUCAUGUGGUGGGCCUUGGAGAAACACAAAGUCCCAGCAAAGUACAUUACCCUCAUCAAGGACAUGUACAAUAAUGUUGUGACAAGUGUUCAAACAAGUGAUGUCGACACCGAUGACUUCCCGAUUAAGAUAGGACUGCAUCAGGGGUCAGCUUUGAGCCCUUAUCUUUUUGCAUUGGUGAUGGAUGAGGUCACAAGGGGUAUACAAGGAGAUAUCCCAUGGUGUAUGCUCUUUGCGGAUGAUGUGGUGCUAGUUGACGAUAGUCGGACGGGGGUAAAUAGGAAGUUAGAGUUAUGGCGACAAACCUUGGAAUCGAAAGGAUUUAGGCUUAGUAGAACUAAAACCGAGUACAUGAUGUGCGGUUUCAGUACUACUAGCUGUGAGGAGGAGGAGGUUAGCCUUGAUGGCCAGGUGGUACCUCGGAAGGACACCUUUCGGUAUUUGGGGUCAAUGUUGCAGGAGGAUGGGGGUAUUGAUGAAGAUGUGAACCAUCGAAUCAAAGCCGGAUGGAUGAAGUGGCGCCAAGCUUCUGGCAUUCUCUGUGACAAGAGAGUGCCACAAAAGCUAAAAGGCAAGUUCUACAGGACGGCGGUUCGACCCGCAAUGUUGUAUGGCGCGGAGUGUUAG
rnacentral:rRNA from 1 species